rnacentral:rRNA from 1 species
GACGAACGCUGGCGGCGUGCUUAACACAUGCAAGUCGAACGGAAAGGCCCCUUUGGGGGUUCUCGAGUGGCGAACGGGUGAGUAAUACGUCAGUAACCUGCCCUUGACUUCGGGAAAACUGCAGGAAACUGGGGUUAAUACCGGAAAGGAAUCCUUGCGGCAUCGGGGGGGUUGGAAAGCUCCGGCGGUUUUGGCUGGGCUCGCGGCAUAUCAGCUUGUUGGUGGGGUAGUGGGUUACCAAGGCUUUGACGGGGAGCCGGCCUGAGGGGGCGACCGGCCACAUUGGGACUGAGAUGCGGCACAGGCUCCUACGGGUGGCAGCUGUGGGGAAUCCUGAACAAGGCGCGGCAGCCUGAUGCAGAAACGCUGCGUGCUGGAUGACGGCCUUGUGGUUGUCAACAGCUUUCAGCAGGGGCGAAGCUUGUGGUGACGGUACCUGCAGAAGAAGCACCGGCUAACUACGUG